GACGAACGCUGGCGGCGUGCCUAAUACAUGCAAGUCGAACGGUCUUUUCUAUGGAAGCUUGCUUCCACUGAGAAGAUAGUGGCGAACGGGUGAGUAACACGUGGGUAACCUGCCCAUAAGAGGGGGAUAACAUCCGGAAACGGGUGCUAAUACCGCAUAGUUUUUCUGAUCGCAUGAUCGGGAAAGGAAAGACGGCCUUUGUGCUGUCGCUUAUGGAUGGACCCGCGGCGUAUUAGUUAGUUGGUGAGGUAACGGCUCACCAAGACGAUGAUACGUAGCAGACCUGAGAGGGUGAUCGGCCACAUUGGGACUGAGAAACGGCCCAAACUCCUACGGGAGGCAGCAGUAGGGAAUCUUCCGCAAUGGACGAAAGUCUGACGGAGCAACGCCGCGUGAGUGAAGAAGGUUUUCGGAUCGUAAAACUCUGUUGUCAGAGAAGAACAAGUCGGAGAGUAACUGCUCCGGCCUUGACGGUAUCUGACCAGAAAGCCACGGCUAACUACGUGCCAGCAGCCGCCGUAAAAC
rnacentral:rRNA from 1 species